UUUAAGGGCUUCCAUUUUUCCCUAAACAAAAUAUACAUGGAAAAGUUUAUCAAAUUCCAGUGCCCUUCUUCGUUACCAGUCUCUUCGGUUUCUCGGUCUCUUAAAAUUCACUCUCAACCUCUGUCUGCCACUAACCAUUGUCGUUCUCUCUCGGCACCUCCGUUUCCUCUUCUUCUUUUUCUCUCAUUGAUCUAAGCUCCCCUCGCAGUACCAUCUACCAUGGAUUCAUCACUAUCGCAUCACCACACCAAUCACCACCACAAUCUCAUGUCACUCACCACCAUACCACUGUCGCAAGUCACCCUCAAGAAAGUCUAUAUCUCACAAUUACUAUCACCGUAAGCCACCUCAUAUAGGUGAAGAAUACCACAAAGGAGAGCAUGAAUUAAAGAAGAUCAAUGAACACUCUAUCCCAUAUCGAGAAAUUAGGGGUUCUGUUUAAACAGAAUAGCUAGGGUUCUUCCCUUCAAUUACCAUCUCCACCAUCAUCGAUGCCUUCGAAAACCGAAGCUAGGUGCUAUUGUUUAAUAAAGUAAGAAAUGUGAGAAGAAAAGGUGAGUCUCUAUUUAACUUUCUAUCGAGCACUAUAAGCAUUUUUCUUUUAUGUUAUAUAAUGCCUUUAUGCUAAUCAUUUUGUUUUUACUUGGUACAAUCCAUUUGAUCUACUGAUGUGUGGAGGCAAAAAAAAAUUCCAUGUCGAUGGUUCCUAAUUCAAGCAAGGUGUAUCUCCUUAGAAAUUGUUGGUACAUUUGUUUAUUUUUUUAAUUAGUUAAUAGGGAUUUUGGUAAACACUUUGUCUAUAAAUGAAACAGUGGGUGGCGAAUUCCCAAAUAGUUUGGCUUUUUUUUUACCGUGAAAGGUGUUAUUAUUUUCAUUUCCAUAUG